rnacentral:piRNA from 3 species
GCAUUGGUCGUUCAAUGGUAGAAUUCUCGCC